rnacentral:misc_RNA from 1 species
UCAAACUUGGUCAUUUAGAGGAAGUAAAAGUCGUAACAAGGUUUCCGUAGGUGAACCUGCGGAAGGAUCAUUACUGAAUUUAAGGAUUGGUGACAAUUCUUAACCUUCAAAACCUUUGCUUAAACAUUACCUUAUGUUGCUUCGGUACCCUGCGUACCGACAGCCUUUUUAAACAUUCUUAAUUAAACCUUGAUUCUGAAUCUUUAUAUUUUUUAAUUAAAAUUGAAUUAAAACUUUCAACAACGGAUCUCUUGGCUCUGGCAUCGAUGAAGAACGCAGC